rnacentral:rRNA from 1 species
CGUUCUGUAAGCCUGCGAAGGUGUGCUGUGAGGCAUGCUGGAGGUAUCAGAAGUGCGAAUGCUGACAUAAGUAACGAUAAAGCGGGUGAAAAGCCCGCUCGCCGGAAGACCAAGGGUUCCUGUCCAACGUUAAUCGGGGCAGGGUGAGUCGACCCCUAAGGCGAGGCCGAAAGGCGUAGUCGAUGGGAAACAGGUUAAUAUUCCUGUACUUGGUGUUACUGCGAAGGGGGGACGGAGAAGGCUAUGUUGGCCGGGCGACGGUUGUCCCGGUUUAAGCGUGUAGGCUGGUUUUCCAGGCAAAUCCGGAAAAUCAAGGCUGAGGCGUGAUGACGAGGCACUACGGUGCUGAAGCAACAAAUGCCCUGCUUCCAGGAAAAGCCUCUAAGCAUCAGGUAACAUCAAAUCGUACCCCAAACCGACACAGGUGGUCAGGUAGAGAAUACCAAGGCGCUUGAGAGAACUCGGGUGAAGGAACUAGGCAAAAUGGUGCCGUAACUUCGGGAGAAGGCACGCUGAUAUG